CUCCGCAGAAGAGCGCGCAGGCGCGUCGGCGGCCGCACGUGCGAGCCUGGCCGGCCCCGCCCCUUUAACCCAGCCUUGGAAAAACGAGUCCUCCGGGCUGGCGAUUUUUUUUACCAUAGAGGUGGGACGGUCUUUCUCCGACUUCGGGGGGGGGGCGACGAGCCGGAAGCGCGCUCGCCAUCCGGAAGUGACGACUUGUGCGAGGCCGCGGCGUUACUGCUGAGAGGCGGCUGUGGAGGCCGCGGCGGAGGCCGCGCUCGCCAGCAGGGAUUUCCGGAUUCUCCUUGCUGCUCUUGACCCACCCCUGCCUGGCGCACCAUGGUGUCUUACCACAUCCGCGAAUACCGUCCCGGGGACUACGAGACGGUGCGUGACUUGUUCGCCACCGGGAUGAGCGAGUACGUGCCCACCUUGUGCAUUCACAUGCUGAAGCAACCUCGAGUCAUCCUGAUCCUGGCUUGUACCUUCUGCCUCCUGCUGACCAGCUCCAAGUCGUUGCUCCUACCCAUCCUGGCUAUCACUUUGCUGCUGGCCAUCGGCCGGCAACUCCUGGGUUAUAUCUGGUCGAUGUACAUCGAUCACUGUCUCCAGAAGGACCUGCUGGACAUCCAGGCCACGUACCUCGGCCACAAAGGCUCGUGCUUUUGGGUGGCUGAGGUGGACGAAUGCGUCGUGGCCACCGUUGGGGCCAGACCCUCCGAAGGACAGCGCGACGAACUCACGUUGAAGCGGAUGUCGGUUCGGAAGGAUUACCGGGGUUUUGGCAUCGCCAAAGCUCUCUGCAAGACUGUGAUCUGUUUCGCCCGGGAACACGGCUACUCUUCCGUGGUUUUGAACACGCUUAUGGUCCAGCAUGAAGCCCGGGCAAUGUACGAAGGGGUCGGCUUCUACAGAUACCACCAUUACGUCCUCCCUACGGUCUACGGCAGGCUGGCCAACUGUACGAUUUCCAAGUAUCGCUACGACAUUCCUAGCGCCGAGUGAGGAAACCGCCGGUGGGUUUGCCUCCGGCGCUUGGCUGGAUCCGUCCCUGCAUCCCCUUUCUUCUUUUCCUGCACCCGGGAUGACCAGGUGGCGCCAACCAAGGGCACAGCGGUUAGACACACACCGCGAAAAACCAUCCCUCUCCACUUCCGGAUAUUGAUUUUUUUCAAGGAGAGGUUCUGGAUUUUCCAAGGAGGGCCUUAAAACCUGGAUUGCGAAAGUUUUAGCAACGUGGGAAGGAAAAAAUAAAUUCUACAUUUUUGUCGGCAGAGAAAUAGCAAUUUGCCAUCCGCCGCCCCUUUAGCUGUGACCUUUGGGGGGUGAACAAUUUUAAACUCUCAUAACUCCAGAUGACAGCUAACCCCUGGUGUGCCAUCCCAUUGAGAGUGCAGGGUACACAGCACCUGGCAGUCUGCUGACUAGGCGACACAAGAAACGGGGGUCUCCUUAUCCCCCAGUUGGUGGCUUCGUACUUAGAACGAGAAGGCCUGCAAAGUCACCCCACUACUAUAGGAUUCGUACCGAUUCCCCCCCCACCCAAAACACAUAUUUUGGGAGUAGCUUCUCGCUGUGGUGGAUUUCAGCGCCUGGAACUCCCAGCCUCAGCACACCUAGGAGGUACCUAAGUGAGAAGGGCUGCCUCGGACUAAGUUUCUAUCUCCCUGGGUACUUUUUGGAGCAGAGGUCUCCAACCUUGGCAACUUUAAGCCUGGAGGACUUCAACUCCCAGAAUGCCCCAGCCAGCUUUGCUGGCUGGGGCAUUCUGGGAGUUGAAGUCCGCCAGGCUUAAAGUUGCCAAAGUUGGAGACCCCAGUUUUGGAGCCACGUUGCUACCUGAGGAAUCGCGUUUCCUGUUUAUUUCCAGAUUAGGGGACAUGUUGUUUCUCUUAUACAGGCAGUCCUCGACUUAUGGCCACGUUUGAGCCCAAAAUCCCCGUUCCUAAGCGAAACGGUAGUUCAGUGAGGUUUCUCCCAUUAUACGACCUUUGUUGUUAAGCGAAUCACUGCCGUUGAGUAAUGGUCGUUAAGCAAAUCUGGCUCCCCCCCCCCCCAUGGACUUUGAUCGUCAGAAGGUCGCAAAAGGGGAUCGCGUGACCCCGCCUCCCCCUGUGACCGUCAUAAAUACGAGUCAGUGGCCAAGAAAGUCUGGAUUUUGAUCACGUGACCACGGGGUUGCCGCUAUGAUCGUGUGAAUAAUGGUCAUAAGUCUUUUUUUUCAGAUCCGUCGUAACUUUGGUCACUAAACGAACUGUUGUAAGUCAAGGACUGCCAGAUCUAGCCAGCCAAUCAGGAAUCAUCUAGUGGUUAAAUGAAGGGUCCAAGCAACUCCAAGCGGAGUUAUGAUAAAAAUGCAGCUUCCUUUUCCACCAGUGCCACUAAAGAGAUAGUCCUCAACUUGCAACAGUUCAUUUAGUGACCGUUCAAAGUUAUAACAGCACUGGAAAAAGUGACUUAACGACCGUUUUUCGCACUUAACGGCCUUCGCAGCAUCCCCGCGAUCAAGCGAUCCAAAUUGCUUGGCAACUGGCUCACCCUUAACGACGGUUGCAACAUCCCAAGGUCACUCGAUUCCCCUUUUGCGACCUUCUGGCAAGCAAAGUCGUCAAAGAAGCCCGAUUCGCUUAGCGACCGUGUGGCUAACUUAACCAACUGCAGGGAUUCGCUUAACAGCUGUGGCAAGAAAUGGGGGCCAAACUCAAAUGUCUCACUUAACGACAGACACGCUGAGCUCCAUCGUAGCUGCAAGUCGAGGACCACCUGUAUAAACGGAAUUACAGAAGAGAGAGAGGAGGGGAAUUUUGAGGAAAACUGAAUUUCAUGGCUUCAGGCCUGCCUUAUUGGGACAACCCACCGGCUGCUAGGGAUUGUCGCAGUCUUAAUUUUAGGACAAAGGUUGGAGACCCCUGCAAUACUGGGUUUGAGGGUGUUUCUUUAGUUAGGAGCAGAUACUUCAGUUGUUCAUGAUGCAGAAAAAAUGGAAUAUUAGAGACGAUUCUCCAAAUCGUGGAACUGGCUAAAUUAAAAGUCUUUGAGAUUCAGGACAGAGGGGGAAAAAAAGAAGUUAUUUCUGCAGCAUCUACUGUGAAACCACGGAAUCGAAUUCCCCCAACGGGCUGGCUUGGAAAUGGGGCAGGAGAGGUGGGUCCUUUGGAGUCCUCCAGUCGGCCAUUUUUGGUACUGGCAAGAUGGCGGCCGUGCGCCUUGCCAAAUUCCUUCAUAGGAAAGAACGUGUGUGAAAGAUGAGGGUCGUUUAAGUCAGGUUGGCCUAGUGGUUAAGGCACCACUUAGUCCUGUCAUCUAGUCCUGUCACAGGCAUGAAAGCUGGCUGGGUCAGUUACUCUCAACCUAGGUCCACCUCACAGGGUUGUUGUGGGCUGGGUGACUUUGGAUCAAUAACCAGGAGACAGUGAGUUCUAGGCCUGCUUUAGACAUGAAAGGUGACUAGGUCAGUCGCUUACUCUCAAUCUAGUCCACCUCGCAGGGUUGUUGUAGGCUAGGUGACUUUGGGCCAAUAACCAGGAGACAGUGAGAGCUAGGCCUGCUUUAGACACGAAUGCUGGCUGGGUGACAGUGUCAGUCACUCAGUCUCAACCUAGUCCACCUCAAAGGGUUGUCGUAGGCUGGGUGACUGGGUCAAUAACCAGGAAAUCACGAGUUCUAGUUCUGUCUAAGCACAAAAACCAACUGGGUGACUUCGGAGUAAUCAGGAGACUGACUUCUAGGCCUGCUUUAGGCAUGAAAGCUGGCUGGGUGACUAGGCCAGUCCCUCACUCUCAAUCUAGUCCACCUCGCAGGGUUGUUGUAGGCUAGGUGACUUUGGGUCAAUAACCAGGAGACCCUGAGUUCUAGGCCUGCUUUAGACAUGAAAGGUGACUAGGUCAGUCCCUCACUCCCAACCUAGUCCACUCAAAGGGAUGUUGUGAGCUGGGUGACUUUGGAUCAAUAACCAGGAAACAGUGAGUUUUAGUCCUGCUUUAGAGAAAAAGCUGGUUUAGUGACGGAGGUUGGUCAUUCACUUUCAACCUUAGUCCACCUCACAGGGUUGUUGUUGGCUGGGUGACUUUGGAUCAAUAACCAGGAGACCGUGAAUUCUAGUUCUACCCUAAGCACAAAAAGCCGUCUGGGUGACUUUGAGCUAGUCAUCAGGAGAUUCCCGAGUUCUAAAUCCCCCCCUUAGGCCCCCAAAACCAGCUGGGUAACUUUGGACAACUCACCAGGCGACCGCGAGUUCUAGUCCUGCUUUAGGCACGAACGCUGGCUGGAUGUCUAGGCCAAUCACUCCCUCUCAACCUAAUUCACCAGUUAUGGGGAAAAUAGGAAGAGGAAGGACCAGUAGGUAUGUUGGCCACCUUGGAUUAUAUCUAAAAACAAAGGCGGGUUGUUGUUUUUUUAAAAAAAACACAUUUGAUUUGGAAAAACACAGCCUUGCAACAUCGUCGUGUGGCUGUUUUGAAUGCAUUGGAUCGGUGGCUCUUUAGUCCUUAUUGUGCCUACGCUGAUUUCUGAAUGUCUCGCUGUCUGAGCGGGGAUCCAGUUGUCUUGGGAGUGGGGUUUUGUGCACUGGCGUUGUGCAUUGUGGGAAAAUAAAUUCGAUUAUUCAAUAAAAGUUGAAAUAUUUCUAA